CGCCCCGAUUCCGGUUGAUCCUGCCGGACCCGACCGCUAUCGGGGUAGGGAUAAGCCAUGGGAGUCUUACACUCCCGGGUAAGGGAGUGUGGCGGACGGCUGAGUAACACGUGGCUAACCUACCCUCGGGACGGGGAUAACCCCGGGAAACUGGGGAUAAUCCCCGAUAGGGAAGGAGUCCUGGAAUGGUUCCUUCCCUAAAGGGCUAUAGGCUAUUUCCCGUUUGUAGCCGCCCGAGGAUGGGGCUACGGCNCAGAUGUGUAUAAGAGACAGUCCCUAAAGGGCUAUAGGCUAUUUCCCGUUUGUAGCCGCCCGAGGAUGGGGCUACGGCCCAUCAGGCUGUCGGUGGGGUAAAGGCCCACCGAACCUAUAACGGGUAGGGGCCGUGGAAGCGGGAGCCUCCAGUUGGGCACUGAGACAAGGGCCCAGGCCCUACGGGGCGCACCAGGCGCGAAACGUCCCCAAUGCGCGAAAGCGUGAGGGCGCUACCCCGAGUGCCUCCGCAAGGAGGCUUUUCCCCGCUCUAAAAAGGCGGGGGAAUAAGCGGGGGGCAAGUCUGGUGUCAGCCGCCGCGGUAAUACCAGCUCCGCGAGUGGUCGGGGUGAUUACCUGUCUCUUAUACACAUCUGAC
rnacentral:rRNA from 1 species